rnacentral:rRNA from 1 species
GAACUCUAACAUGUAUGCGAGUGUGGUUAGUUAACAUCAAUUUUGGUUAUCAUAAAAUGGUUGGAGGAAUGUAGCUUCGAUCUCGUAUUGAAGUGUUAUAGCCUUCGGCAGAUGUGAUGAUCGAGAUUGAGGAUUGCAACGGAUACCCUUCGGGGCUACCUGUCUGAUCUCUGAUCGUUGCUCCGGUACCCGAAAGCGUGCUUACGGUUAUCAAAGUCGAU